rnacentral:rRNA from 1 species
CCCUUAGAUGUUCUGGGCUGCACACGCGCUACACUGGCAGGUUCAGCGAGCUUCUUGCCCUGAUCUGAGAAGAAUGGGAAACCUUUUCAACACCUGCCGUGCUUGGGAUAGAUGUUUGCAAUUAUUCAUCUUCAACAAGGAUUGCCUUGUAGGCGUGCCUCAUCAGGGCACAUCGAAUACGACCCUGUAUUCUGUACACACCGCCCGUCGCUCCUACCGAUUGAAUGAUUUAGUGAGGACUUCGGACUGGGACCGAUGCGGCUUUCGGGCUGCGUCGGUAUUCUGGAAAGAUGUCCAAACUGUAUCAUUUAGAGGAAGUAAAANUCGUANCA